CGGCGGACGGGUGAGUAACACGUGGAUAACCUACCUAUAAGACUGGGAUAACUUCGGGAAACCGGAGCUAAUACCGGAUAAUAUAUUGAACCGCAUGGUUCAAUAGUGAAAGACGGUUUUGCUGUCACUUAUAGAUGGAUCCGCGCCGCAUUAGCUAGUUGGUAAGGUAACGGCUUACCAAGGCAACGACGCGUAGCCGACCUGAGAGGGUGAUCGGCCACACUGGAACUGAGACACGGUCCAGACUCCUACGGGAGGCAGCAGCG
rnacentral:rRNA from 1 species